AUGCAAGUCGAACGGCAGCACGGACUUCGGUCUGGUGGCGAGUGGCGAACGGGUGAGUAACAUAUCGGAACGUAUCCAAUAAUGGGGGAUAACUAAUCGAAAGGUUGGCUAAUACCGCAUACGCCCUACGGGGGAAAGCAGGGGAUCUUCGGACCUUGCGUUAAUGGAGCGGCUGAUAUCUGAUUAGCUAGUUGGUGAGGUAAAGGCUCACCAAGGCGACGAUCAGUAGCUGGUCUGAGAGGACGACCAGCCACACUGGAACUGAGACACGGUCCAGACUCCUACGGGAGGCAGCAGUGGGGAAUUUUGGACAAUGGGCGCAAGCCUGAUCCAGCCAUUCCGCGUGGGUGAAGAAGGCCUUCGGGUUGUAAAGCUCUUUCGCAAGGGAAGAAAACUUACUUUCUAAUAAAGAGUGAGGUUGACGGUACCUUGAUAAGAAGCACCGGCUAACUACGUGCCAGCAGCCGCGGUAAUACGUAGGGUGCGAGCGUUAAUCGGAAUUACUGGGCGUAAAGCGUGCGCAGGCGGUUUUGUAAGUCAGAUGUGAAAUCCCCGAGCUCAACUUGGGAACUGCGUUUGAAACUACAAGACUAGAAUAUGUCAGAGGGGGGUAGAAUUCCACGUGUAGCAGUGAAAUGCGUAGAGAUGUGGAGGUAUACCAAUGGCGAAGGCAGCCCCCUGGGAUAAUAUUGACGCUCAUGCACGAAAGCGUGGGGAGCAAACAGGAUUAGAUACCCU
rnacentral:rRNA from 1 species